GACGAACGCUGGCGGCGUGCUUAACACAUGCAAGUCGAGCGGUAAGGCCCUUUCGGGGGUACACGAGCGGCGAACGGGUGAGUAACACGUGGGUGACCUGCCCUUAGCUCUGGGAUAAGCCUGGGAAACUGGGUCUAAUACCGGAUAUGACUCCAUAACGCAUGUUGUGGGGUGGAAAGCCUUGUGCGGCUAGGGAUGGGCCCGCGGCCCUAUCAGCUUGUUGGUGGGGUGAUGGCCUACCAAGGCGACGACGGGUAGCCGGCCUGAGAGGGCGACCGGCCACACUGGGACUGAGACACGGCCCAGACUCCUACGGGAGGCAGCAGUGGGGAAUCUUGCGCAAUGGGCGAAAGCCUGACGCAGCGACGCCGCGUGGGGA
rnacentral:rRNA from 1 species